rnacentral:rRNA from 1 species
CCUACGGGAGGCAGCAGUAAGGAAUAUUGGUCAAUGGAGGCAGCUCUGAACCAGCCAUGCCGCGUGCAGGAUGACGGCCCUAUGGGUUGUAAACUGCUUUUAUACAAGAGAAAACCCUGGUACGUGUACCAGGUUGAUAGUAUUGUAAGAAUAAGCAUCGGCUAACUUCGUGCCAGCAGCCGCGGUAAGACGAAGGAUGCAAGCGUUAUCCGGAUUCAUUGGGUUUAAAGGGUGCGUAGGCGGACUGAUAAGUCAGUGGUGAAAUCUCUUUGCUUAACAAAGAAACUGCCAUUGAUACUGUCGGUCUAGAGUAUAGAUGACGUUGGCGGAAUAUGACAUGUAGUGGUGAAAUACUUAGAUAUGUCAUAGAACACCGAUUGCGAAGGCAGCUAACGAAACUAUAACUGACGCUGAGGCACGAAAGUGCGGGGAUCAAACAGGAUUAGAUACCCUGGUAGUCCGCACCGUAAACGAUGAUUACUCGUUGUUGGCGAUAUGACAGUCAGCGACCAAGCGAAAGCGANAAGUAAUCCACCUGGGGAGUACGCCGGCACGGUGAAACGUUAAAUGAAUUGACGG